ACUAAAGUAGUUUAAGAAAAUACUACGGUGUGGUCGUAGAGAUGUUAAUUACCUUUGGUA
rnacentral:tRNA from 1 species